UGGCUGGGCUGAACAGAUCGGAAAAGUAUUCGGUGGUAAUGUGCUCUCGCACAAUCUUGUGCAUCAUUAUAUGACGGUUUCACCACGAUAGCUAGCUGCUGCUUUUUCUUAUUAAUCUCACGUUUUUGUCAUGCCAACAAAUAAUUGACAUGGUUUGGUGAUUCCUCGUGUUCGAUUCUCUGUUAUCGAAGAAUCUAUACAUUAGUUGCAUGAGAAAGUAGUACUACUAUACUUCAAUGUUGACGUGAUUUGGAUAACAGUUGUUACAGUUUAUUGGCCUGCGCGCUUGUUCUUUUCUUGCUACUUCAUAUAACAAUUAUUAUGCUUGGAAUUUUUUUCUUUCUUCGCGCAGAAAGCAUGGUCAAAAUCAACAACUUGCAGCUUAACCCUAAUUGGCUACUUUUGCUUUAUUCGAUCGGUUAUUAUUUGAGUUUGCCAGACUUGUUCCUGCACUGAUCUAAUUGCAGCAGCUACAGUUCUAGCCCUUCUGAAAUCAAGGUCUACACAGAAUGCUAAGGGAAUCAUUAUUUGUGUUUGCAGGUGUUUUCGUCAAAAUGUACAAUACUUGAGAGCUGACUUCUCUGCUUCUUCCCUUUCGGCGCUUGUUUGCCCCAACCUUAUAUUUCAGAGACGAAAAAUGGAAGACAGAACAAAAAUUUAUAUAUCAUACAAAAAAUUCACACAAAACCGUAGCAUGAAAUUCAAACAUUCAUCGGAUGUGUGGACAGGGUUGAAUGUUUUCCAUCGAUCCUGUUUGUAAACGAAUGAAUUCGUAAUGCAUUCAUAAUAAUUCAUGGAUGCUUGGAUGUUCUUUAUCUAGGCAUAACAUUUUGUGGGCAAUGUCCAAAUACUGCCUAGGUGAUUCUAAGUUGCAUGGAAACGAGAAACUAUAUGCAACAUCUUGGAUAAAUUUGGAAAAAGAAAAAGUGGUGAGAGAGUAAAGAAUUGUACUUUGCCUUUUCUUUUUUCUGUAGGAGAGGAAUAAAUUAACCGAGGCAGCUUUGUUCUUUCCAAUGCUUUGCUAGCAAGAUAAGGACUUCCUUCCGAAUCAAUCAAACUUCUGCAUCACUUUGGUAACAGGAAUUCUACUUUGGAGGGAGUUGGAAACUUGACUGUCAUGGUUGCCAACAUAAGUUAGUUUAAACAAGCUCGAGUUUCUGAUCAAGCCAUCUUCUCAUUCUGUUUUGCCUCGCAUUCUCUGCUAAACAAGCUCGAGUUUCUGAUCAAGCGAUCUUCUCAUUCUGUUUUGCCUCGCAUUCUCUGCUAAACAUGCUCGAGUUUCUUUCCUAGCUAUUUGUCUCCUGCUCCCGACUUCUUCUUUCUUUACUUAAAUUGAAGACCAAAGGGUGUUUGGAGGACCCGGGACAUCUCAAUUUGCUCGGUUUGCAAACAACAAAGAGAGUUACUCUGGUCCGACGAGAUCGGCAACGUAGUUCAAGCAUCUCCAAAAGGACUGAGGAAUUGUACUUCGGAUCGGAAGAAAUUGGAAACUUGACUGUCAUUGUUGCCAACAGAAGUUUAAAAGCCUUCAAGCCGGCCAUAUCUUCUUAUUUUGUUUGCAACAAGCUCGGUUUGAGAACAA